ACGAGUGGCGGACGGGUGAGUAAUGUCUGGGAAACUGCCUGAUGGAGGGGGAUAACUACUGGAAACGGUAGCUAAUACCGCAUAACGUCGCAAGACCAAAGAGGGGGACCUUCGGGCCUCUUGCCAUCGGAUGUGCCCAGAUGGGAUUAGCUAGUAGGUGGGGUAACGGCUCACCUAGGCGACGAUCCCUAGCUGGUCUGAGAGGAUGACCAGCCACACUGGAACUGAGACACGGUCCAGACUCCUACGGGAGGCAGCAGUGGGGAAUAUUGCACAAUGGGCGCAAGCCUGAUGCAGCCAUGCCGCGUGUAUGAAGAAGGCCUUCGGGUUGUAAAGUACUUUCAGCGGGGAGGAAGGGAGUAAAGUUAAUACCUUUGCUCAUUGACGUUACCCGCAGAAGAAGCACCGGCUAACUCCGUGCCAGCAGCCGCGGUAAUACGGAGGGUGCAA
rnacentral:rRNA from 1 species